UACAGAGGGUGCAAGCGUUAAUCGGAAUAACUGGGCGUAAAGCGUGCGUAGGUGGAUACUUAAGUCAGAUGUGAAAGCCCCGGGCUCAACCUGGGAAUUGCAUCUGAUACUGGGUAUCUAGAGUAUGGUAGAGGAUGGCGGAAUUUCCGGUGUAGCGGUGAAAUGCGUAGAUAUCGGAAGGAACACCAGUGGCGAAGGCGGCCGUCUGGGCCAAUACUGACACUGCGGCACGAAAGCGUGUGUAGCAAACACG
rnacentral:rRNA from 1 species